GGCAGGCAGAGCUUUUUUGGUUCAAAAGACAAACAUCAUAAUUACAUUCAAAAUAUUUAGUAGUCAAUCAGAGAGAUUGCCACAUAUAAACAUGGGGUGGAGUGCAUAGAAUCUGCUUGACAAGGUCCAGCUUCCCUCACUGGAGAACACUCAUGUCUCACUUCCCCAAGGGCUGAAUGGUCAGAGAACAGGCAGGAAGGAGCCAGAUUAUCAAAAUGUCACCAGACCACUAUUUCUCCACGUCUUCCGCAAGCAUUCUCAGCACAACCCUCCUGACCAGAGGCCUGGACCACAACUGACCAUCAGUAUCCUCUUCACCACUGACCUCCAACCUGGACGGCAAUGAGGACAAAUGUUAGUACCUGGGCUCCCUGAGCAGUGACACUGAGGCCCACACGAGCCUUCAGGGUAGCUACGGGAGCACAGUGAGUCAAGAGCUGACAGCAGCAUCGCAGCAGCAGGCCUGAAGAGGACUAAAGAGGAGCCUCCUGCACUCACUGCUGAAUGCUAAGCCCCAGGGCAGGGU
rnacentral:lncRNA from 1 species